AUGAACGCUGGCGGCGUGCCUAAUACAUGCCAGUCGAGCGAACAGACGAGGAGCUUGCUCCUCUGACGUUAGCGGCGGACGGGUGAGUAACACGUGGAUAACCUACCUAUAAGACUGGGAUAACUUCGGGAAACCGGAGCUAAUACCGGAUAAUAUAUUGAACCGCUUGGUUCAAUAGUGAAAGACGGUUUUGCUGUCACUUAUAGAUGGAUCCGCGCCGCAUUAGCUAGUUGGUAAGGUAACGGCUUACCAAGGCAACGAUGCGUAGCCGACCUGAGAGGGUGAUCGGCCACACUGGAACUGAGACACGGUCCAGACUCCUACGGGAGGCAGCAGUAGGGAAUCUUCCGAAAUGGGCGAAAGCCUGACGGAGCAACGCCGCGUGAGUGAUGAAGGUCUUCGGAUCGUAAAACUCUGUUAUUAGGGAAGAACAAAUGUGUAAGUAACUAUGCACGUCUUGACGGUACCUAAUCAGAAAGCCACGGCUAACUACGUG
rnacentral:rRNA from 1 species